UAGCCUGGUAGCGGGGGAUAACUAUUGGAAACGAUAGCUAAUACCGCAUAAUAUUAAUUAUUGCAUGAUAAUUGAUUGAAAGAUGCAACUGCAUCACUACCAGAUGGACCUGCGUUGUAUUAGCUAGUAGGUGAGGUAACGGCUCACCUAGGCGACGAUACAUAGCCGACCUGAGAGGGUGAUCGGCCACACUGGGACUGAGACACGGCCCAG
rnacentral:rRNA from 1 species